rfam:Oryza meridionalis cultivar OR44 (W2112) chromosome 3, whole genome shotgun sequence.
UCUGUCACAAACCCUAGGUUUUCGUGCCCAACGUUUAACCAUUCAUUUUAUUUAAAAAAAUUAUGAAAAAAAUUAAAAAGAUAAGUCACGCAUAAAGUAUUAGUCAUGUUUUAUCAUCUAACAACAAUGAAAAUACUAAUUAUAAAAAAAUUUCAUAUAAGACGGACAGUCAAACAUUGGAUACAGAAACCCAGGGUUUGCCUUUUU